rnacentral:rRNA from 1 species
AACGAACGCUGGCGGCGUGCCUAACACAUGCAAGUCGAACGAGAAUUUUCCCUUCGGGGAAAUAGUAAAGUGGCGCAAGGGUGAGUAACACGUGAAUAAUCUGCCUACGAAUUUGGGAUAACGCGGGGAAACCUGUGCUAAUACCAGAUAAGACCACGUCUCUUAUGUGAUGUGGCCAAAGGAGCCUCAAGCUCCGUUUGUAGAUGAGUUCGCGGACCAUUAGCUUGUUGGAGGGAUAAAAGCCCCCCAAGGCGACGAUGGUUAGCCGGCCUGAGAGGGUGAUCGGCCACACUGGAACUGAGACACGGUCCAGACUCCUACGGGAGGCAGCAGUGGGGGAAUAUUGCGCAAUGGGCGAAAGCCUGACGCAGCAACGCCGCGUGAGGGAUG